CUGAGCAGGCCUAACACAUGCAAGUCGAGCGGAUGAGGGAAGCUUGCUUCCCGAUUUAGCGGCGGACGGGUGAGUAAUGCCUAGGAAUCUGCCUAUUAGUGGGGGAUAACGUUCCGAAAGGAACGCUAAUACCGCAUACGUCCUACGGGAGAAAGUGGGGGAUCUUCGGACCUCACGCUAAUAGAUGAGCCUAGGUCGGAUUAGCUAGUUGGUGGGGUAACGGCUCACCAAGGCGACGAUCCGUAGCUGGUCUGAGAGGAUGAUCAGCCACACCGGAACUGAGACACGGUCCAGACUCCUACGGGAGGCAGCAGUGGGGAAUAUUGGACUAUGGGCGAAAGCCUGAUCCAGCCAUGCCGCGUGUGUGAAGAAGGUCUUCGGAUUGUAAAGCACUUUAAGUUGGGAGGAAGGGUUG
rnacentral:rRNA from 1 species